rnacentral:rRNA from 1 species
UUUUCUCAAGACUAGCCAUGCACGUCUAGUACAAACUAAAUGAUGGUGAAACUGCAAAUGGCUCAUUACAACGGUUAUGAUGUACCCGGGAGUUCCGAUGGAUAUUUCCAGUAACACUAGAACUAAUACAUGUCCCUGCGUUUAUUAGUUUCGCACAGUCCGUCGCUGAGUCAUGGUAAACAGUUGAUCGACUCGACGUCCCGGAACAGUUUCCGCCCCAUCAGCUUCGAUGGUUGGGUAUUGGCCUACCAUUGCAACAACGGGUAACGAGGAAUUAGGGUUUGAUUUCGGAGAGGGAGCCUGAGAAACGGCUACCACAUCUACGGAUGGCAGCAGGCGCGCAAAUUACCCAAUGCAGACACUGUGAGGUAGUGACGAGAAAUAAUAAAGCGGGACUUCUGUUUCGCUAUUAUAAUGAGGAAUAACCAAAGGUCAUUCCGAUUAGCAACUGAUGGGAAAGUCUGGUGCCAGCAGCCGCGGUAAUACCAGCGUCAGUAGCA